UGCGCUGCGUGCGCCCCGUCGGUGUGCCGCCAAAUUCCUCCUCCCCGCCGGGAGCAAGCGUGGGGAUCGAGGCGACGGGGACUCGUAGAGGCGGAGGCGGACCGACUGGAACCCAAAUUGUAGGGUUCCUCGAUCCUCUCUGAUCGGACCGAUCCGAGACGUCCUUCCACCCUAAUUUCCUCUCGCACGUAUCAAAGGAACCGGGGAUAGAACUCUUCUGUUCACACAAGCAACUCCAGUUUGAAUGGAUCCCUCUCGAGGACCCUCGUGGAACUUGCGACGUCUGAAAGGUGAUGCAUACGUCCUGUUACCUGAGCACGAUCAUGUUACUUGAACUUUACUGCAUCCUUCCUAGUUAUUUCGUAUGCAGCACAAUGUUGCAACUCACUUUAUCCUUUAGUUUAUCUUUAUAUGAUGUGACGGUUCAACAAGAAUCAUAACAGCCUUUUCAUUCCUGUCAAGAGGUAAUUGAUUAUUAUUUUUUGUAAUCUAAUAACUUUCUGUCAUCCAAAUAAAAUAGAAGCAGAUUCAUAAUUAAAUUAUUGUGAGCAGAGUCAUAAGGAAGAAGAUAGCCAGUGAGGCUACUAUGAUUAUUCUUUGUUGGACAACAUAAUCAGAGCCAUCCUGACAUCUUCUUCUUGGAAUGGAAUAAUCAGCAAGUUAGUAAAGGGCCUGCCUGGUGUCAGUCACUAAUUAAUUACGACCUACAUAUGUACAAUAGACUAUGCUGGGGGGGGGGGG